rnacentral:tRNA from 1 species
CGGAGCGUAGCGCAGCCUGGUAGCGCAUCACACUGGGGGUGUGGGGGUCGCCGGUUCGAAUCCGGCCGCUCCGACCA